AGGGAGCCUGAGAAACUGCUACCACAUCCAAGGAAG
rnacentral:rRNA from 1 species